rnacentral:rRNA from 1 species
UACGUAGGGUGCAAGCGUUGUCCGGAAUUAUUGGGCGUAAAGAGCUCGUAGGCGGUUUGUCGCGUCGAAUGUGAAAACCCGGGGCUCAACCCCGGGCCUGCAUUCGAUACGGGCAGACUAGAGUUCGGUAGGGGAGUCUGGAAUUCCUGGUGCAGCGGUGAAAUGCGCAGAUAUCAGGAGGAACACCAGUGGCGAAGGCGGGACUCUGGGAAGAUACUGACGCUGAGGAGCGAAAGCGUGGGGAGCAAACAGG